rnacentral:rRNA from 1 species
CGCAUCUGUGCAUGCAGCAUAUCAAUAAGCGGAGGAAAAGAAACUAACAAGGAUUCCCUCAGUAACGGCGAGUGAAGCGGGAAGAGCUCAAAUUUGAAAUCUUGAAAGGUCACCUUUCACGAAUUGUAGUUUAAAGAAGUGUUUUCUGUUACGAUCGUAAUAUAAGUUCUUUGGAAUAGGACAUCACAGAGGGUGAGAAUCCCGUCUAUGAUUGCGAUUUGUAGCUUUGUGAUACACUUUCCAAGAGUCGGGUUGUUUGGGAAUGCAGCCCAAAACGGGAGGUAAAUUUCUUCUAAGGCUAAAUAUUGGCGAGAGACCGAUAGCGAACAAGUACCGUGAGGGAAAGAUGAAAAGAACUUUGAAAAGAGAGUUAAACAGUACGUGAAAUUGUCAAAAGGGAAGCGUUUGACACCAGUGUUGUUUUCUCGAAAAUCAAUUAAAAAUGGCUCGAUUUUGUAUUGCUGAGACCUUAAAAGCUCACUGUACAUUUUUCGUGUCUUUUUUAAUGCACUUUUCGUUUAACAAGUCAACAUCAGUUUCUUUUGUUGUAAAAGGGUCAUUGGAAGGUGGCUUUCUUUUCGGAGAAAGUGUUUAUAGCCUUUGGCCUCUGCAAUCGGAGAGACUGAGGUCUGCAGCGUAGACUCUUCGGGGUUAGAUACAUUUGUGCUAAGUUAUAGCUUUUUAUAGACAACUUGUUGGACUAUAAUUAGUCUUGUAGCUUACUCGCUUAUGCUAUUUUACCUACGCUUAGGAUGUUGAAGUCAUCGUAUCGCGC